CGACUGUUCUCGUGAGCCCAUGCAGAAGGCCACUGUAUUCUCAAGGGAUGGCAAAAGGUACACUGGACGCUGCUGUCAAUUUUUGUGACUUCUGAGAGUCUGCAGGAAGGUAUGGUAUAGGUUCAGAGCCAAAGUAUAUGGCUAUCUAUUCUUAGACAGCUGUCUCAGUUAAACUACUUUGACUGAAGGAUAAAAAUCUUGCAGGGAACUGUCUUAAAUCCCAAGCAUCGGAGAAAAAAGAAAAAAAAAAAAAAAGAAUCAUUUUACUCAUUCAAACAAUGUUGGUCUAUGAAGAAUCAAAGUUAAUAACAUUCCCACUGGUGUGUGCCACAAGAGGGAAAGUUCUGGAACAGAAUGUAGCAUUAGGAAUACAGUGGG
rnacentral:lncRNA from 1 species